CCCUAAUUCACCUUUCAAAUUUCAAACCCAUUUCUCCCUCUCUCUCAAAUUCCAAAAACCUAGAUCUAGAUUUUCUCUCUGCCUUUCUCUUUCUGUAUUCAGAAAUCAAUGAAGAAGAACAUCGUUCCUGCUGAUCUAGGGUUCAACCCCCAUCUUCAACCCUCAUAUUCCUUCGUUCUCCUUCUCACUCUCUCUCGCAAACAGGGAAGAGGACUCAAACCGUACACACAAAUCUCAGAACGAGUUAACCAGAUGAAGAUGAAGUGAGGAAGAUGAAGAUGACAAUACUUUGCAGAUCUGAGUUUUCUAGCUACAUUCAGUAGUUUUACAUUCAGACCUGAGUCUUUUACAUUCAAAUCUGAUAGGUUUGCGUUCAGAUAUGACUGCUUCUACAGUUUCACGUUUCAUCUGACUACUUCUACAGUCUGCUUUGUGGUAGAAGGUUUAUCUGGAUCUGGAUCUGAAUCGAUUUAAUUUUUCUUUUUAUUUGUAGAAGUUGUUGUUACUGUUUUGUUGUGGUUCGAUGAUGUUAGAAGGAGGUUUUCAGGUCUGUUUUUGCUUUGUAGAGGUAGGUUUAUCCGGAUAGAUCUUAGGGUGUGUUGAAAUUAUUUUGAUUUGUAUAUAUCUGUCGUUUGUUGUUUGAUUUGAGUUAAUAUGUGUGAAAAUUGAGUAACGACGUCACACGAUUGCUAAUUUUUUGUCUUUAUUCAUAUUGUGUUUAUGAAAAUGGUGAAUCUGCUGGUUGUCUUCAUGGCCCUCCCCUUGCAGGUUUCAUGGUUAAGGCUAUGGUUGAGGCAUAAAAAUUUAGAUCUUUAAAUAUAAUCUCAGGUUUGUUUCUUUAGGUUUAUGUGUCCUGGACUGGCUUUUGUGAGAGUUGCACCCCCUAAUCAAUUGAUCUUUUUUUGUUCUUAUGGUUGUUGGUUUUUGCAUCUUGUUUCUAGAAAUAAUUUCACAAGUUUGUGUCACUGUUGCUUUGGUGAGGAGAAAAAUAUGAAUGUGGCUGCAUUUGAUUGGAGACUCUCAUUUCAAAACACAGAGGUAGAUUGCUUUGGGUUUAACCUUCUCUUUAGAGGUGCAAUGUGUCAAAUGGGUCAAGGUAUAAGCUUUUUGACUAAACUGGAAUAUGGUCAAAUGGGUCAAAAAAUUGUUGGCCCAGCUUCUUCAUUAUUUGAUCGCAGAACACAAAUUAAUAAAGCGAACAGGAAAUGUACGUUUAACUACUCUUGAUCACGUUGUUUUAACUGGUAACAAAUCACAUUUAUAACAAUACUCUUCAUUCUUUGAAACCCUUAGUAAGAGCAGAGGAGAUGGAUACAUUAUUUUUUAGUUUAGAAAACACAUUUUAUGGGCUUUUAUUUCGUGAUAUGCUGAGUGGGCGAGUCCUUGCCCUUCGGCUGGUGCAAUCACACUUGCAAAUCCACUAGAGGAAAGAAAAUGACGUGAAAGUUGUUCAAACCGUUUUGGAAAGAAUCAUGGCAACCGAGCAGUAUCUAAUCUUGCCAAAGCCAAAAACGCCUGUAGACAUUUGUAUACUAGAAGUGCAAAUGCCUCUGUGUUGGCAAAUAGUAACAGUUUCGAUGAGGGUACCGCCAGCAGGGCAGUUGAAGAUAUCGAUUGGGAUUCUCUUAUUGAUAAAGGAACGUGCCAAGAAAUUGAGAAGCGUUAUGCCUCACUUCUGCACCAGAUCCUACUACUGUAAGACCGGAGGAAGUAUUGAUAAAAGCUUUGCUUUUUGUUCAAGAUUCUCAGAAAAAACUAUCUUUUUAAAUAUGAUCAAUUAAAAUCUAUCAGACAAGAUCUUAUGGUACAACGGAUACGCAAUGAGUUGACGGUAAGGGUAUGAAGCUUCGAAGCCCUACAGUCAGAAUUAGCAACAAGGAUUCUUCCUGCAGAUUUUGUAAGAUUGGAUCAAGAUAUAUUACCACCGUUUGCAGGAAAGAAGCAGUUGUACACAUAUGAAACUAUGGAUUUUUGGGAACAAAUAAAAACACCUGGGAGGGGUGAUGACCAAAUUGAUCCCAAGAAACACUGUCAUCCCAACCAAGAAAUCUCAAGUUUUUACUACCUACCAAGAUCAGCAGACUGUUGUCUCAAUCAAGGUUUAUGAAGGUUAAAGAAGUCUUACAAAGGACUGUAGGCUUCUAGGAACUUUUGACCUCACUAGAAUUCCUCCAGCUCCAAGGGGAACCCCACAAAUUGAAGUCACAUUUGAAGUAGAUGCUAACGGUAUCUUAAACGUCAAGGCUGAAGACAAUCAGAAAAGAUCACUAUCACAAAUGAAAAGGGUCGAUUGAGCCAAGAAGAGAUCGAGUGUAUGGUUAGGGAAGCCGAAGAAUUCGCUGAAGAAGACAAAAAGGUGAAAGAAAAGAUCGAAUUGGUAUUAGCAGUGAAAAAGGAAUUUGGUAUGCUAAAUGUAAAAUUUUAAAUUUCAUCAUGUUAUUUAAUAGAACAAUUGUGAAAUUGCCAAUGUGAGAUGUUCUGGAUUUUUGAUAUAACUCUCACAUGGGUGUUUUUAACUAAUAUGGAUUGUGUAUACUUACGCUAAAAUAAAAAUGUUUAAUUUGAGAGAAUAUAUAUUUUUUUGUUUGAUUUUUUGGGUUUUAUGGAAUAGAGCAUCAGGUGUUCGAUGAAAUGCUUCAAAGGAAAUGUUCACUUUUUUUCUUGGUCAGUUAACAAUACUUGUUUUUGGGUUUUAUGGAGUAGAGCAUCAGGUGUUCGGUGAAAUGCUUCAAAAAAUGUUAACUUUUUUUCUUGGUCCAUUAACAUUAGUGAUUAUUGGGUACUUAGAUUGGUUAACUUAUUCAAUGAUAACUUAGUUAUUAUGUUUAACUGUGUAGAGCUUUCUACUGUAUAUGAAGGGCGAUUUGCAGAUAAAGUUUAACCAGGAAAUGGAUUGGCUUAGCAUAAUUUUUGAAGGGGCGAACCGUGAAGGCCGAUACAAAUUAAACUUUGAUGAGGAGGAUAUAAAAUUGAGUAAGAGAACGACGGAUACGCAAGCAUACAUAUUCUAACAAUGGGAUCAAGUUUCUUGCAAAUGCUGCUGGUGAGAGUUCACUAUGAACAACAGAACAUUAAUCAUUUGGAGCACUAAUGCUCCAUCUGCAAACAAGACUCGGAUGUCUAGCUCCUUGGCUAUUUUUAGUACUAACUCAGCUGACUGUAAUGUGGAGAAUAACUCAUGGUCUUCAAACCUUCUUGGUUCCCAUUUUAAGUUUUCCUAUCCACGAAUCUUGGUUUUAAAAAAACAUGAGGCGGACUGAGUGUUCUGAGUCGAGGCGCAAAACGCAAAAGAGAACCGACUGUAGCGUGUGUGUGUCUUUCAGUUUUUUAGCUUCAUGGAUAGUUUAUGUUUUUUUAAUUAUAUAAAAAUAUGUUUGCAAUAUUUAGGCAUAUGAUUCAGAUCAUAAAAGUUCAUUAACGAAUGAUUCGGAUUAUAAAGGUUCAUUGAGAAAUGAUAUAUUUGUAUUAUGGCUUGUAUGUUUAAUUUUUAUUUUCAGUCACUUACGUAUUUCAUGGAAUGAGGUCAGUACAUUUAAUGAUAAGGUGCUAUAAAGAACCAACAGGUUGCCAGGAGAUGCUUCAUUAGAGAAGUCAAUGCACUAGCUGGAUUGGGGAGAAGUUUUAAUUCCUGCAGACUGUGUUAACCCAAGAUUUGUCGAAGUCACUAGCAAAAAGGUUGAGUUGAUGUUUCGCUUUCAUCCUACAUUUGUCAAGUUUUUAGCAAUUUGGUUGGGUGCAUAAAUCUGUUAUUGGAAUAGAUUCACGGGGGCAUUUGGGUCACUGGCAACGAGUUGAAAAGGUGGAGUUUCUGUUCCGGAUCAUUUAGAGGGGUUCUUGGGGCUGUAUUUUGUAUCUAAAGUCGCUUUAUUUAUUUUGUUUUUAGUGUUUUUCCGGGUUAUGUUCUCUUUUGGUUUUAUCGAAACCAAUGGUCAAACACUUGGAGACUUUUUGGACCGUAUAUGAAGUUUAGACCACUUUGAAUAUU